UACGGAGGGGGCUAGCGUUGUUCGGAAUUACUGGGCGUAAAGCGCGCGUAGGCGGACCUGCAAGUCGGGGGUGAAAGCCCGAGGCUCAACCUCGGAACUGCCUUCGAUACUGCGGGUCUCGAGUCCGGGAGAGGUGAGUGGAAUUCCUAGUGUAGAGGUGAAAUUCGUAGAUAUUAGGAAGAACACCGAUGGCGAAGGCAGCCUCCUGGGCCAGCACUGACGCUCAUGCACGAAAGCGUGGGGAGCAAACAGG
rnacentral:rRNA from 1 species